UUUUCACCAUUGCUGGUGAGUAAAUGAUAACAACAUUUUAAUUUUUUGGGGUGAACUAUCCCUUUAAAAGCAUUUCAGUGAACGUUUCAG